GACGAACGCUGGCGGCGUGCUUAACACAUGCAAGUCGAGCGGUAAGGCCCUUUCGGGGGUACGACGAGCGGCGAACGGGUGAGUAACACGUGGGUGACCUGCCCUCAGCUCUGGGAUAAGCCUGGGAAACCGGGUCUAAUACUGGAUAUGACUCCAUGACGCAUGUUGUGGGGUGGAAAGCCUUGUGCGGCUGAGGAUGGGCCCGCGGCCUAUCAGCUUGUUGGUGGGGUGAUGGCCUACCAAGGCGACGACGGGUAGCCGGCCUGAGAGGGCGACCGGCCACACUGGGACUGAGACACGGCCCAGACUCCUACGGGAGGGCAGCAGUGGGGAAUCUUGCGCAAUGGGCGAAAGCCUGACGCAGCGACGCCGCGUGAGGGAUGACGG
rnacentral:rRNA from 1 species